rnacentral:lncRNA from 1 species
AGAAAAUUGAAAGAUCUACCUUGCUCUUGGAUAGACAGAAUUAAUAUUAUCAAAAUGACCAUACUUCCAAAAGCACUAUACAGAUUUAAUGCAAUUCUGAUCAAAAUUCCAAUGACAUUCCUCAUAGAAAUAGAAAAAGCAACCAUGAAAUUCAUCUGGAAAACUAACAGGCCCAGAAUAGCUAAAGCAAUCCUUAGCAGGAAGAAUGAAGCAGGUGGCAUCACUAUACCAGACCUUAAACUAUACUACAGAGCAAUAGUAACAAAAACAGCAUAGUAUUGGCACUAAAACAGACUGGUAGACCAAUGGUAAAGAAUAGAGGACACAGAGACUAACCCACAAAACUACAAUUAUCUUAUACUAGACAAAAGUGCCAAGAAGAUGCAUUAGAGAAAAAAUAGCCUCUUCAACAAAUGGUGCUGGGAAAACUGGAAAUCCAUAUGCAACAAAAUGAAAUUAAACCCCUAUCUCUCACCAUGCACAAAACUCAACUCAAAAUGGAUCAAGGACUUAGGAAUACAACCAGAACCCUGCAUCUAAUGGAAAAAAAAGUAGGCCCUAAUCUCCAUCAUGUGAGAUUAGGCCUCAACUUCCUUAAUAAGACUCUUGUGGCGCAAAAAUUAAAACCAAGAAUCAAUAAAUGGGAUGGACUCAAACAAAAGUUUCUUCUCAGCAAAAGAAACAAUCUGUGAGGUGAAUAGAGAGCCUACAUCUUGGGAACAAAUCUUUACCCCUCACACAUCAGAUAGAGCACUAAUCUCUGGGGUAUAUAAAGAAUUCAAAAAAACUACCCAAAAAUAAAAUAACCCAAUCAAUAAAUGGGCAAGGACAUGAAGAUUCACUUCUCAGAAGAUGAUGUACAAUCAAUCAACAAAUACAUGAAAAAAUGUUCAUCAUCACUAGCAAUUAGAGAAAUGCAAAUCAAAACCACUCUAAGAUUUCAUCUCACUGCAGUCAGAAUGGCAGCUAUUAUGAAGACAAAUAACAAUAAGUGUGGCAAGAAUGUGGGGAAAAGGCACACUCAUAUAUUGCUAGUGGGACUGCAAAUUGGUGCAGCCAAUAUGGAAAGCACUAUGGAGAUUUCUUGGGAAAUUGGGAAUGAAACCACCAUUUGACCUAGCUAUCCCUCUCCUUUGGUCUAUACCCAAAGGCCUUGAAAACAGCAUACUACAGAGGCACAGCCACAUCAGUAUUUAUAGCAGCACAAUUCACAAUAACUAAACUGUGGAACCAACCAAGAUGCCCUUCAGUAGACGAAUGAAUAAAAAAAAUGUGGCAUAUAUCACAAUGGAAUAUUACUCAGCAAUAAGAGGAUAAAAUCAUGUCAUUUGCAGGUAAAUGGAUAGAGUUAGAGAAGAUAAUGCUAAUUGAAGUUAGCCAAUCCCCAAAAACCAAAUGUCGAAUGUUUUCUUUGAUAUAAGGAGGCUGAUUCAUAGUGGGAUAGGAAGAGGGAGUAUGGGAGGAAUAGAUGAACUCUAGAUGGGGCAGAGGGGUUGGAAGGGAAGGGAGCGGGCAUGGGGUUAUAAAUGAUGUUGGAAUGUGAUCAUUAUUAUCCAAAGUACAGGUAUGAAGACACGAAUCGGUGUGAAUAUAAUUUGUAUACAACCAGAGAUAUGAAAAAUUGUGC